rnacentral:rRNA from 1 species
GAUGAACGCUGGCGGCGUGCCUAAUACAUGCAAGUCGAGCGAACAGACGAGGAGCUUGCUCCUCUGACGUUAGCGGCGGACGGGUGAGUAACACGUGGAUAACCUCCCUAUAAGACUGGGAUAACUUCGGGAAACCGGAGCUAAUACCGGAUAAUAUAUUGAACCGCAUGGUUCAAUAGUGAAAGACGGUUUUGCUGUCACUUAUAGAUGGAUCCGCGCCGCAUUAGCGAGUUGGUAAGGUAACGGCUUACCAAGGCAACGAUGCGUAGCCGACCUGAUAGGGUGAUCGGCGACAUGGGAACUGGGACACGGUCCAGACUCCUACGGGAGGCAGCAGUAGGGAAUCUUCCGCAAUGGUCGAAAGCUUUACGGAGCAACGCCGCGUGAGUGAUGAAGGUCUUCGGAUCGUAAAACUCUGUUAUUAGGGAAGAACAAAUGUGUAAGUAACUAUGCCCGUCUUGACGGUACCUAAUCAGAAAGCCACGGCUAACUACGUG